AAGAAUGUUUGCUCUGCCUCUCCAGCCCACCCCCAUCUUGUGGUUACACCCCACUCCUCCUAGUUCCGCCCCUAGCCCAGCCCUGGCCUGCCCCUCACCUCAGCUAAAUACUUUCAAGCAAGCCCCUUCUACCUGGGGCAUCCCUGUUCACAGCAUGAGGCCUUUUCCUGAUUGGCCUCUCUUAACCUCGGUGCACAUAGAAGGCUUGCUAACCAGCAGACAUCAGUGGAGACUUCAGAGUCAUACCCAUAAGCCUGCUUGUCAGAAAAGAAAGGAGGGAGACUGAUGCUGCUCUCAAGAUCUUCCAGAAGUGAACCACCCCAGACUUGAUGCUCCAGCUCAGGCUGGGAUCACAUUCCUGCUCUUUCCACUAAAACUCAACAUACAACUGCAGCAGCGGGACUGGCUCCUGUGGAGGGGGCCUAUCUACAGUUCUGCCCCCUGAGACCUGCUGCUUCUGGGAACUGUUCUCCACAGAGGACUGUUCUUCCUUGACUUUGGGGACCUCCUAGAGCUGAUGGUUAUAAUCUCUCCCAAUCUUUCUUGAUUUGUAUCCUGCUGCAAAUGAGAGUCUUAAGGUCUCUUCCUUCUGGGUUCUAUUUAUGUAUUUCUUUGUGUGAAUUAUUGCUCCUAUGUUAGAAGUAAAACUCCCACUUUUUGUCUCCUUUCACUUUCUGUCCACUCCAAUCUUAGAGUUAUGACAAUUGGCCAAAAUGAGUAGAACCCAUGGCACAUCAAGUUUCUAUAGAAUCAGAUGCAUCCUGGGUGGGCAUCUAAGCCACUGACCCCGCUUGAUUGGGGGGUGGACAAGGGGCAUCCCCUGACCUGGGGCCCCAGGAUGAUACCCUAUAGCCCUGGGGUUAUGGGAGAGAGGGCUGAGAGAGAGAGGUUCCCACGCAGGUGAGAGUAUGAACAGGGCCUUGAUGAAAAGAGACAGUCUAUGAUUUUAGACCUUUAUUGUAGAAAGGCAGGGGGGAAGAGAAAAGGUGAAGAGAGAGAGAGAGAGAGAGAAAGAGAGAGAGAAUGAAUGAGAGAGAGAGAGAGAAUGAAUGAGAGAGAGAGAGAAUGAAUGAGAGAGAGAGAGAGAGAGAGAGAGAGAGAGAGAGAGAGAAAGAGACUGGCCAUGGAGGAGAGAAGGGGGAAAGAAGAGAGAGAAGAAAGGCUAGAGUAAGAGGGAGAGAGUAAGAGAUGAGAGAGAGAGAGAGAGAGAGAGAGAGAGAGAGAGAGAGAGGAGAGUAAGAGCAAGAGAGCAAGAGGAGUAAGAGUAAGAGAGUGAGGUGGGGCCA
rnacentral:lncRNA from 1 species